GAUGAACGCUGGCGGCGUGCCUAAUACAUGCAAGUCGAGCGAACGGACGAGAAGCUUGCUUCUCUGAUGUUAGCGGCGGACGGGUGACUAACACGUGGAUAACCUACCUAUAAGACUGGGAUAACUUCGGGAAACCGGAGCUAAUACCGGAUAAUAUUUUGAACCGCAUGGUUCAAAAGUGAAAGACGGUCUUGCUGUCACUUAUAGAUGGAUCCGCGCUGCAUUAGCUAGUUGGUAAGGUAACGGCUUACCAAGGCAACGAUGCAUAGCCGACCUGAGAGGGUGAUCGGCCACACUGGAACUGAGACACGGUCCAGACUCCUACGGGAGGCAGCAGUAGGGAAUCUUCCGCAAUGGGCGAAAGCCUGACGGAGCAACGCCGCGUGAGUGAUGAAGGUCUUCGGAUCGUAAAACUCUGUUAUUAGGGAAGAACAUAUGUGUAAGUAACUGUGCACAUCUUGACGGUACCUAAUCAGAAAGCCACGGCUAACUACGUG
rnacentral:rRNA from 1 species